UACGUAGGGUGCAAGCGUUGUCCGGAAUUAUUGGGCGUAAAGAGCUCGUAGGCGGUUUGUCGCGUCUGCUGUGAAAACUCGGGGCUUAACUCCGGGCCUGCAGUGGGUACGGGCAGACUAGAGUGCGGUAGGGGAGACUGGAAUUCCUGGUGUAGCGGUGAAAUGCGCAGAUAUCAGGAGGAACACCGAUGGCGAAGGCGGGUCUCUGGGCAUUAACUGACGCUGAGGAGCGAAAGCAUGGGGAGCGAACAGG
rnacentral:rRNA from 1 species